GCCCCCUCUGCCACUGCUCCUUCAGCCACAGCUUCUCCAGCCACGGCUCCCUUUUCCCCUGUUCUUAAUACCGCAACACCACCACGACUGUCUUUGACUUUUAGACAAACGAGGGAAAAUGUGGACAAAUACGUUCAAGAUGCCUGGAAGGGAAAGCACGUCCAUGUUCUCCUAUCAAAAAUCGGGGCGUACAAAUUGUUCUUUUGGGACAUUAUGAACGUUAGACCCAAUUCUGAGCUGGAAUCGGAGGUUAUAAACGCGUACCUCCUGUUGUUGGUGAACAAACGCAACCAAAUCAGCGUGGAAAAGGUUUCCUAUAUAGACUCAUUUGCAAUGACAAAUUUAUGGAAUGGAAAGAGCCAGAGA